rnacentral:rRNA from 1 species
UAAGGAAUAUUGGUCAAUGGACGCAAGUCUGAACCAGCCAUGCCGCGUGAAGGAUUAAGGCCCUCUGGGUUGUAAACUUCUUUUAUAGGGGAAGAAAUGUGACGGUUCUCCGUCACUUGACGGUACCCUGGGAAUAAGCACCGGCUAACUCCGUGCCAGCAGCCGCGGUACUACGGAGGGUGCAAGCGUUAUCCGGAUUCACUGGGUUUAAAGGGUGCGUAGGUGGGCAGAUAAGUCAGUGGUGAAAUCUUCCGGCUUAACCGGGAAACUGCCGUUGAUACUAUUUGUCGUGAAUAUUGCGGAGGUAAGCGGAAUAUGUCAUGGAGCGGUGAAAUGCUUAGAUAUGACAUAGAACACCAAUUGCGAAGGCAGCUUACUACACAAUCAUUGACACUGAGGCACGAAAGCGUGGGUAGCGAACA